UGGCUCAGAACGAACGCUGGCGGCGUGCUUAACACAUGCAAGUCGAGCGGAAAGGCCCUUCGGGGUACUCGAGCGGCGAACGGGUGAGUAACACGUGAGCAAUCUGCCCUUAGCUUCGGGAUAGCUCCGGGAAACCGGAAUUAAUACCGGAUAUGACUUCGGCCGACAUCGGCCAUGGUGGAAAGAUUUAUCGGCUAAGGAUGAGCUCGCGGCCUAUCAGCUUGUUGGUGGGGUAACGGCCUACCAAGGCGACGACGGGUAGCCGGCCUGAGAGGGCGACCGGCCACACUGGGACUGAGACUCGGCCCAGACGAAUACGGGAGGCAGC
rnacentral:rRNA from 1 species